rnacentral:rRNA from 1 species
UUUGGCCUCGGAUCAGG